rnacentral:rRNA from 1 species
GACGAACGCUGGCGGCGUGCCUAAUACAUGCAAGUAGAACGCAGUUGCGCACGGGUGAGUAACGCGUAGGUAACCUGCCUCAUAGCGGGGGAUCACUAUUGGAAACGAUAGCUAAUACCGCAUACUGUGAGAUGGACCUGCGUUGUAUUAGCUAGUUGGUGAGGUAAAGGCUCACCAAGGCGACGAUACAUAGCCGACCUGAGAGGGUGAUCAGCCACCCUGGUACGGAGACACGGUCCAGACUCCUACGGGAGGCAGCAGUGGGGAAUAUUGCACGAUGGGCGCAAGCCUGAUGCAGCCAUGCCGCGUGUAUGAAGAAGGCCUUCGGGUUGUAAAGUAAUUUCAGCGGGGAGGCGUUACCCGCAGAAGAAGCACCGGCUAACUCCGUGCCAGCCGCCGCGGUAAUUC